GAUGAACGCUGGCGGCGUGCCUAAUACAUGCAAGUCGGGCGAACAGAUAAGGAGCUUGCUCCUUUGACGUUAGCGGCGGACGGGUGAGUAACACGUGGAUAACCUACCUAUAAGACUGGGAUAACUUCGGGAAACCGGAGCUAAUACCGGAUAACAUAUUGAACCGCAUGGUUCAAUAGUGAAAGGCGGCUUUGCUGUCACUUAUAGAUGGAUCCGCGCCGUAUUAGCUAGUUGGUAAGGUAACGGCUUACCAAGGCAACGAUACGUAGCCGACCUGAGAGGGUGAUCGGCCACACUGGAACUGAGACACGGUCCAGACUCCUACGGGAGGCAGCAGUAGGGAAUCUUCCGCAGUGGGCGAAAGCCUGACGGAGCAACGCCGCGUGAGUGAUGAAGGUCUUCGGAUCGUAAAACUCUGUUAUCAGGGAAGAACAAAUGUGUAAGUAACUGUGCACAUCUUGACGGUACCUGAUCAGAAAGCCACGGCUAACUACGU
rnacentral:rRNA from 1 species